GACGAAGGGGGCGGGCGUAUCCAUGAUGACUGGGCGUAAAGAGUCCGUAGGCGGCUUUUCAAGUUAAAAGUAAAAUCAAAAAGCUUAACUUUUUGAGGCUUUUUAAUACGUUAGAGCUUGGAGUUUUAAAGGGAGAUAGUAGAAUUUUCAUUAUGGAGGGGUGAAAUCCGUAGAAUUAUGAAGGAAUACUGAUGGCGAAGGCGACUAUCUAUUUAAUCUGACGCUGAGGGACGAAAGCAUGGGGAGCAAACAGG
rnacentral:rRNA from 1 species